rnacentral:rRNA from 1 species
UACGUAGGGUGCAAGCGUUGUCCGGAAUUAUUGGGCGUAAAGAGCUCGUAGGCGGUCUGUCGCGUCUGCUGUGAAAACUCAGGGCUUAACCCUGAGCUUGCAGUGGGUACGGGCAGACUAGAGUGCGGUAGGGGAGACUGGAAUUCCUGGUGUAGCGGUGAAAUGCGCAGAUAUCAGGAGGAACACCGGUGGCGAAGGCGGGUCUCUGGGCCGAUAUCGACGCUGAGGAGCGAAAGCGUGGGGAGCGAACAGG